CGUGUAGGCGGCCAGAUAAGUCCGCUGUGAAAUCUCGAGGCUCAACUUCGAGCUGUCGGUGGAAACUGUCUGGCUAGAGUCCGGAAGAGGAGAAUGGAAUUCCUGGUGUAGCGGUGAAAUGCGCAGAUAUCAGGAAGAACACCCGUGGCGAAGGCGGUUCUCUGGGACGGUACUGACGCUGAGAGCGAAAGCGUGGGGAGCGAACA
rnacentral:rRNA from 1 species